UUGCUCUUCUUGGAUGAGUUGCGAACGGGUGAGUAACGCGUAGGUAACCUGCCUUGUAGCGGGGGAUAACUAUUGGAAACGAUAGCUAAUACCGCAUAACAAUGGGUGACACAUGUCAUUUAUUUGAAAGGGGCAAUUGCUCCACUACAAGAUGGACCUGCGUUGUAUUAGCUAGUAGGUGAGGUAACGGCUCACCUAGGCGACGAUACAUAGCCGACCUGAGAGGGUGAUCGGCCACACUGGGACUGAGACACGGCCCAGACUCCUACGGGAGGCAGCAGUAGGGAAUCUUCGGCAAUGGGGGCAACCCUGACCGAGCAACGCCGCGUGAGUGAAGAAGGUUUUCGGAUCGUAAAGCUCUGUUGUAAGUCAAGAACGAGUGUGAGAGUGGAAAGUUCACACUGUGACGGUAGCUUACCAGAAAGGGACGGCUAACUACGUGCCAGCAGCCGCGGUAAUACGUAGGUCCCGAGCGUUGUCCGGAUUUAUUGGGCGUAAAGCGAGCGCAGGCGGUUUGAUAAGUCUGAAGUUAAAGGCUGUGGCUCAACCAUAGUUCGCUUUGGAAACUGUCAAACUUGAGUGCAGAAGGGGAGAGUGGAAUUCCAUGUGUAGCGGUGAAAUGCGUAGAUAUAUGGAGGAACACCGGUGGCGAAAGCGGCUCUCUGGUCUGUAACUGACGCUGAGGCUCGAAAGCGUGGGGAGCGAACAGGAUUAGAUACCCUGGUAGUCCACGCCGUAAACGAUGAGUGCUAGGUGUUGGAUCCUUUCCGGGAUUCAGUGCCGCAGCUAACGCAUUAAGCACUCCGCCUGGGGAGUACGACCGCAAGGUUGAAACUCAAAGGAAUUGACGGGGGCCCGCACAAGCGGUGGAGCAUGUGGUUUAAUUCGAAGCAACGCGAAGAACCUUACCAGGUCUUGACAUCCCGAUGCUAUUUCUAGAGAUAGAAAGUUACUUCGGUACAUCGGUGACAGGUGGUGCAUGGUUGUCGUCAGCUCGUGUCGUGAAAUGUUUGGGUUAAGUCCCGCAACCAGCGCAACCCCUAUUGUUAG
rnacentral:rRNA from 1 species